UGGGCGAAAGCCUGACCGCGCGACGCCGCGUGAAGGAUGAAGCCCUUCGGGGUGUAAACUUCUUUUAUCCCCGCACAUGCGGGGUUGAAUAAGCGUCUACUAACUACGUGCCAGCAGUCGCGGUAAUACGUAGGACGCAAGCGUUAUCCGGAUUUAUUGGGCGUAAAGGGUCGCGUAGGCGGUCCGAUGCAUCUCAUCUUAAAUAGCUCCGCUUAACGGAGUCCCGGAUGAGAGAUGAUCGGACUUGAGGUUUGGAGGGGUUUCUGGAACUUCCGGUGUAGCAGUGAAAUGCGUUGAUAUCGGAAGGAACACCGAGAGCGUAGGCAGGAAACCAAUCAAUACCUGACGCUGAGGCACGAAAGCUAGGGGAGAGAAGCAGAUUAGAGACCUGCGUAUUCCUAGCUGUAAACGCAUGAGUGCUAGUUGUCCGGCCGUAAGGCUGGAUGACGCAAGUUAACACGUUAAGCACUCCGCCUGGGGAGUACGGCCGCAAGGCUAAAACUCAAAGGAAUUGGCGGGGACCCGCACAACCGGUGGAGCAUGUGGUNNNNNNNNNNNNNNNNNNNNNNNNNNNNNNNNNNNNGGAGUACGGCCGCAAGGCUAAAACUCAAAGGAAUUGGCGGGGACCCGCACAACCGGUGGAGCAUGUGGUUUAAUUCGAGACGAAGCGAAAGACCUCACCACGGUUUGACAUGCUACCGUUUAAUCUGAUAGAAACAUCGGAAGAUCCCGAUUUAUCGGGAUGGUAGCAAAGCUGCUGCAUGGCUGUCGUCAGCUCGUUCCGUGAGGAGUUCCCUUAAGUGGGGUAACGAGCGCAACCCUUGCCGUUUGUUAAAUAUUCAAACGGGACGGUCCCGACGUACGUCGGGAAGGAAGGUGAGGACGACGUCAAGUCAGCACGGCGCUUAUGCCGUGGGCGACACACAUCCUACAAUGGCGAAAAACAGCGGGUUGCAACCUCGUGAGGGGAAGCAAAUCCCUGAAAUUUCGUCUCAGUUGGGAUUGGAGUCUGCAACUCGACUCCAUGAACGCGGAAUCGGUAGUAAUCGCGGAUCAGCAGGUCGCGGUGAAUACGUUCUCGGGUCUUGCACACACCGCCCGUCAAGCCAACAAAGUCGUGGGCGGCCGAAGCUCCCCCGCAUCGCGGGGGAAUUAAGCCGAAUUCGGCGAUGGGGACUAAGUCGUAACAAGGUAUCUGUACUGGAAGGUGCAGAUGGAUCACCUCCUUU
rnacentral:ncRNA from 1 species